ACGCUGGCGGCAUGCUUUACACAUGCAAGUCGGACGGCAGCACAGAGAAGCUUGCUUCUUGGGUGGCGAGUGGCGAACGGGUGAGUAAUAUAUCGGAACGUACCGAGUAAUGGGGGAUAACUAAUCGAAAGAUUAGCUAAUACCGCAUAUUCUCUGAGGAGGAAAGCAGGGGACCUUCGGGCCUUGCGUUAUUUGAGCGGCCGAUAUCUGAUUAGCUAGUUGGUGGGGUAAAGGCCUACCAAGGCGACGAUCAGUAGCGGGUCUGAGAGGAUGAUCCGCCACACUGGGACUGAGACACGGCCCAGACUCCUACGGGAGGCAGCAGUGGGGAAUUUUGGACAAUGGGCGCAAGCCUGAUCCAGCCAUGCCGCGUGUCUGAAGAAGGCCUUCGGGUUGUAAAGGACUUUUGUCAGGGAAGAAAAGGCUGUUGCUAAUAUCGACAGCUGAUGACGGUACCUGAAGAAUAAGCACCGGCUAACUACGUGCCAGCAGCCGCGGUAAUACGUAGGGUGCGAGCGUUAAUCGGAAUUACUGGGCGUAAAGCGAGCGCAGACGGUUACUUAAGCAGGAUGUGAAAUCCCCGGGCUUAACCUGGGAACUGCGUUCUGAACUGGGUGACUGGAGUGUGUCAGAGGGAGGUAGAAUUCCACGUGUAGCAGUGAAAUGCGUAGAGAUGUGGAGGAAUACCGAUGGCGAAGGCAGCCUCCUGGGAUAACACUGACGUUCAUGCUCGAAAGCGUGGGUAGCAAACAGGAUUAGAUACCCUGGUAGUCCACGCCCUAAACGAUGUCAAUUAGCUGUUGGGCAACUUGAUUGCUUAGUAGCGUAGCUAACGCGUGAAAUUGACCGCCUGGGGAGUACGGUCGCAAGAUUAAAACUCAAAGGAAUUGACGGGGACCCGCACAAGC
rnacentral:rRNA from 1 species